UUUUCACGGCUAAUCUCGUUG
rnacentral:piRNA from 1 species